rnacentral:rRNA from 1 species
UGAAAGACGUUUCGGCUGUCACUUACAGAUGGACCCGCGGCGCAUUAGCUAGUUGGUGAGGUAACGGCUCACCAAGGCGACGAUGCGUAGCCGACCUGAGAGGGUGAUCGGCCACACUGGGACUGAGACACGGCCCAGACUCCUACGGGAGGCAGCAGUAGGGAAUCUUCCGCAAUGGACGAAAGUCUGACGGAGCAACGCCGCGUGAGUGAUGAAGGUUUUCGGAUCGUAAAGCUCUGUUGUUAGGGAAGAACAAGUGCAAGAGUAACUGCUUGCACCUUGACGGUACCUAACCAGAAAGCCACGGCUAACUACGUGCCAGCAGCCGCGGUAAUACGUAGGUGGCAAGCGUUGUCCGGAAUUAUUGGGCGUAAAGGGCUCGCAGGCGGUUUCUUAAGUCUGAUGUGAAAGCCCCCGGCUCAACCGGGGAGGGUCAUUGGAAACUGGGAAACUUGAGUGCAGAAGAGGAGAGUGGAAUUCCACGUGUAGCGGUGAAAUGCGUAGAGAUGUGGAGGAACACCAGUGGCGAAGGCGACUCUCUGGUCUGUAACUGACGCUGAGGAGCGAAAGCGUGGGGAGCGAACAGGAUUAGAUACCCUGGUAGUCCACGCCGUAAACGAUGAGUGCUAAGUGUUAGGGGGUUUCCGCCCCUUAGUGCUGCAGCUAACGCAUUAAGCACUCCGCCUGGGGAGUACGGUCGCAAGACUGAAACUCAAAGGAAUUGACGGGGGCCCGCACAAGCGGUGGAGCAUGUGGUUUAAUUCGAAGCAACGCGAAGAACCUUACCAGGUCUUGACAUCCUCUGACAACCCUAGAGAUAGGGCUUUCCCUUCGGGGACAGAGUGACAGGUGGUGCAUGGUUGUCGUCAGCUCGUGUCGUGAGAUGUUGGGUUAAGUCCCGCAACGAGCGCAACCCUUGAUCUUAGUUGCCAGCAUUCAGUUGGGCACUCUAAGGUGACUGCCGGUGACAAACCGGAGGAAGGUGGGGAUGACGUCAAAUCAUCAUGCCCCUUAUGACCUGGGCUACACACGUGCUACAAUGGACAGAACAAAGGGCUGCGAGACCGCAAGGUUUAGCCAAUCCCACAAAUCUGUUCUCAGUUCGGAUCGCAGUCUGCAACUCGACUGCGUGAAG